CACAGGUAGACAUCCACACACAGAGGAAGACAGGCACACACACACAGAGGAAGACAGGCACACACACACACAGGCAGACAGCCACACAAACACACACAGGCAGUCAGUCACACACAGACAGUCACACACACACAGGCAGACAGUCACACACAGGCAGACAGUCACACACAGGCAGACAGCCACAUAAACACACACACACAGACAACCACACACAUACACACAGACACGCACACACACACAGAUGCAGACAGCUAAACACACAGGAAGACAUACACACACACAGAGGCAGACAGUCACACACACAGACACAGGCAGACAGCCACACAAACACACACAGGCAGACAGUCACACACACAGGCAGACAGUCACACACACACACAGGCAGUCACACACACAGGCAGACAGUCACACACACAGGCAGACAGUCAUACACACAGGCAGACAGUCACACACACAGGCAGACAGUCAUACACACA